AUUGAACGCUGGCGGGAUGCUUUACACAUGCAAGUCGAACGGCAGCACGGACUUCGGUCUGGUGGCGAGUGGCGAACGGGUGAGUAAUACAUCGGAACGUGCCCAGUCGUGGGGGAUAACGUAGCGAAAGCUACGCUAAUACCGCAUACGAUCCAAGGAUGAGAGCGGGGGAUCGCAAGACCUCGCGCGCUUGGAGCGGCCGAUGGCAGAGUAGGUAGUUGGUAGGGUAAAGGCCUACCAAGCCGACGAUCUGUAGCUGGUCUGAGAGGCUGAUCAGCCACACUGGGACUGAGAAACGGCCCAGACUCCUACGGGAGGAAGCAGUGGAGAAUUUUGAACAAUGGGCGCAAGCCUGGUCCAGCCAUUCCGCGUGCAGGAUAAAGGCCUUCGGGUUGUAAACUGCUUUUGUACAGAACGAAAAGGCUCUAGUUAAUACCCGGGGCUCAUGACGGUACGGUAAGAAUAAGCACCGGCUAACUACGUGCCAGCAGCCGCAGUAA
rnacentral:rRNA from 1 species